CCUACGGGCGGCAGCAGUGAGGAAUAUUGGUCAAUGGUCGGGAGACUGAACCAGCCAAGCCGCGUGAGGGAGGAAGGUACAGAGUAUCGUAAACCUCUUUUGUCAGGGAACAAAGACUGGGACGCGUCCCCGGAUGAGUGGACCUGAAGAAAAAGCAUCGGCUAACUCCGUGCCAGCAGCCGCGGGAAUACGGAGGAUGCGAGCGUUAUCCGGAUGGAUGGGGUUAAAGGGGUGCGCGGGCGGUCUGUAAAGUCAGCGGUCAAAGCCCGGGGCUCAACCCCGGCCCGCCGUUGAAACUGGCAGUCUCGAGUUGGAGAGAGGUAUGCGGAAUGCGCGGUGUAGCGGUGAAAUGCAUAGAUAUCGCGCAGAACUCCGAUUGCGAAGGCAGCAUGCCGGCUCCACACUGACGCUGAGGCACGAAAGCGUGGGUAUCGAACAGGAUUAGAUACCCCUGUAGUC
rnacentral:rRNA from 1 species